AAAAUCCGUCGACUUUUAAAAUCGUGAGGGUUCA
rnacentral:tRNA from 1 species